AGAAAACCUGGCCGGUCCAUCAAACUCUUCCGACCGGCCCAAUCCCCAUGUCACGACCUUCCCAACCACCCCACCUCCCGCACCACUCUGCCCCAUCCUCGCGCGCACCUCCUGCCGCCGGCCCCAGCGCGCCACCCGCCGUCGACCAACCCCCUCCCCGGCCCGACGCGACCUCCCCAAACCACCGGCCGCCGCGCGCACCCUCGCCGGAAAUCUCGCCGCUGCGCGCGCCUCCCCAAACCACCCACCUCCGCCCGCGCCCUCCCCGGAUCCCUCGCCUAGCCGGUUCCCGUUGCAGCCGCCGCAAGCCUCCACGGAUCCCGGCGGCACCCUCCCUUCGGCGUGCUCCUUCAUCCCGCCGUCACGUCCUGGAUCCAGCUGCCCCGGACCCCGCCAGAUCCAGUAGAAGUUCCCGCCUACUCUCAACUGCUGCCAGGGAAGGACCUCGCCACCACGCCACUUCGUCCUUCCGACGCUGCAGCGCGCAAGCCGUUCACCUUCGUCGCCCAUGGAACAAAUGUGCCUUCUAUGGCUCCGCCCAAAAUCACGCCUGUGCCAUGGGUGUGGUCCUAGCUGAGGUGCAGCUCGCUGUUGCCCGACUCCUAGCUAAGGCAGAGGGGACAGAUAAAAUGCUGGGAGGAUUGGGGCAGGCCCGCAGGAGGUGGCGGCAAGCCUGAAGGAGUUGGAGGCACAUUACUACUCAUCAAUUGUCCAUACUCUGCUCUAUGAUUGAGGUUGUUUCCCCAUUUCUGUGGAUCGGCGAGGAUACAAUGUGCUUCUCCUGCUCGCUUGGGUCAAUGGGUGAUUUGACUGCUGAAGUUGACUAGUAAUUAUCUACUAAAUUUUCCAAGGAUAAGCUCGCUUCUACAUUUUCAUAUAUACCAGCUUCUGUUAUUUACAUAUCAGAUGCUCUGACUAAAUCAUCUUUUGUGUUUCAGAGACUGCAAAUUCUACUAUGUACCUUCAGCAGAAUUAGGUGUUGAAAAUGUUGUUCCUCCUAUGGAUCGUUGAUUCCACACUUUUGUCUGCAUUUAUGAAUAAUGCAUAUCCAGUACCAUGCUCUAAUAAUUUUUCAUCAAUUAUACUGCCUAUAUUACAACAGAAUUAAUGAAGUUCAACUUUGAGAAAGCAAUAAGUCCAAAUGUAUAUGGAAAAACUCUAAAAAGACAAUGACCAAAUUUUUUUGUUAGUGAAGUUCAAUUUGGAAAUACAUGAUAAAAAAGGUAUUCUUUUUUUUACAAUAAAAAAGUAUUAUGUAUUGUUGGUUUCACCAACUAGUCACUCUCUCACAAACAUUCUGUUACUGCUUCCCUUCUACUUCAUGAAAUUGUAUACAAAAAGAACAAUGAAUUUCAAAAUUAAAAGCAAAAAAGCAAGCAUUUCUUAAAGACAAAGAAAGUGUGUGCGAAGUUCAUAUUUUUUGUCGUGGAUGGUCCAAAAUGUUCGCUAAUGGAAAGGCACACCCUGGGUUUCCAAAAAAUGAUUGUAAAAAUGAUUGUGCAGAUUUUCUGUUACCCCAUUUUUAGUUACUGAUUGAAGAAAUUUUUGUUCAUUAGGUGAAAGAACUUGAUUUCUUUUGUUCCUUUGUGGAUGAAGAAGGUCACCACAGAGGUAGGGAGAAGGUCACCAUAAGACAGGGAGAAGGUCACAUAAGGUGCAGAAAGAAUGUCAGAGUUUAGCAACAGGGUGUGUGAUCUUUGUGUUGUUUUUGGGGAGCAAAUCAUGGGUAUGCGAUCUCACAUCCCGUGUGUUAUUGAGAUGGCCUCCCUUAGCCUCAAACCAUUUUCCUACAAAUAUGAUAGCCUCAAUGCUACCGUCAUGUGUAAAGAAAAUUAGAUGUGUACAUGUACACAACCUACAACAACUUUACGGGGAGUUGAUGGAUUUAUCCAGUGGUUGUUGCUGCCACUACUGAUUUUUUUCUUGAGAUGGUCUUCAUCACCAAUCAAUAAUUCACUUGUUUCUUGGUUGCAUCUAGUUCCCUUGCUCCACCUCAACACUGAUUCCUUCAGCUAGAUCUCCCUUGACCAUCACCAAUCAAUAAUUCACUUGUUUCUUGGUUGCAUCUAGUUCCCUUGCUCCACCUCAACACUGAUUCCUUCAGCUAGAUCUCCCUUGUUAUUUUGUAUUCUUAUUUUCUUUUCAUAAAGCAUUUGCUCUGAAAUUCGGAUCCGAUGAUGUAGCUUUGACUAUUCUUGAAAACGUGG
rnacentral:rRNA from 1 species